AUGAUUAUUGUUCAAACAGGUCCGGAAGAAUCUGAUCCACUUAUUGAUGAUAAGGAAAUUCCUGAUCAGGGGAGAGAUUUACCAGGUGGUCCGGAAGAAUCUGAUCCACUUCAUGAUAUGUUUCAUUCUGAACCAGAUCAAGUGAAGAAAAUAAAAGUAAAGCAAGGAGAAACUGUCAUUCUAAAGAGUGGUGUUAAUGAGAUACAGAGAGAUGAUCGGCUACGGUGGAAAUAUGCUGAUUCCAGAGUAUCUGAAUCCACAACCUUAUAUAGUGUUAUUGCUGUAUGCGAUAAAAGGAGCAACAGGCUCUUGGAAAAGGAAGGUCCUGGAGGGAAAUUCAAAGACAGACUACAGCUGGACCAUCAGACUGGAAAUCUCACCAUCAAGAACAUGAGAGUCAAAGACAGUGGGCAAUUUAAAUUAGAGAUCAAGAGCAACACCAAUCCACUUACAAAAACAAUCAAAGUCAAUGUCCGUGGUGAGAAGCUCAAGAAUUUCUAAGUGUUUUUAAAUGUUUCUUAAAGUAAUAGUUUAAAGUAAUAGUUUAAUUUGCAUUACAGUGCAGUUUAACACUGUUCCUAUCUCUGUUUUUUUUUACCUUUUGAUUCUUUAUUUUACAGCUCCCACAAAAAUGGAAUGGGAUGAUCCAAAUGACACAAUGUUGUCACUGAUACCAGAAGAGGACCCCAACAACACUUCUACAUAUAGUGUAGAGCCGAGGACAUAGAUGAGGAGUUAUCAUAGUUAUAAAUGGUGGGGAACUGCUACACAAGGUCACAUCACAAUGACAGUAUGUCAGAUUAGAUUAGAUUAGAUUCAACUUUAUUGUCACUGCACAUGUAAGGUACAAGGCAACGGAAUGCAGUUAGCAUCUAACCAGAAGUGCAAUAAGCAGUAAGUACAGAAUAUACAAGGUCUACAAUAUGUACAAUAACUAUACAGAUAAGUAUUAUGGACAAAAUUUACAGAUUUUAAAUACUAUCAGCAUGAUAUACAGAUAGGUGUACUAUGAACAUACUAUACAGAUGAAAUAUGUGAAGUGUAUGUACUCUAUAGGCAGAACUAUGAACUGUAACUCUGUAUAAAUCUCCAAAGGAUUCGUUUAACACAAUUUGAUGUUUUAUUUCUUUAAUUAUUUUUUGUGUACAGUUAUUUUGAAUCAUUUUUGUUAUACAAGAGUCCACCUUAAAUAUUACUCCAAUAAUUAAUUAAGGGGCCAAGCACAAAUAAAUGAUAUACCAUACUAGUAUCUAUCGGAAAACAUGGCUAUUCAUUGAUUGUCAAUUAAAAUAGCAAAUCUACUAUUAUUUAGUUACACUCUGAUACAUUAUAAUAAAACUACUCAGGCGCUCUUAUAGUAUGGUGCUAGAUACAGUAAAUCUAAUUUCAAUAAACUGCAACUUUAAAUAUGCUAAUAUCUGAACCAAAAUGUUUUUGGCCAAAACAUUUAUUAACCUCAUAUUGUACAUAAACGGUAUCAGGGAUUGUUUUUAUCUUAUAAAUACAUUUUGGAGUGGCAUACUGUCAUUAAUGUUGACAUUAACUUGUAAUGUGAAUAUGUUGUGAUAUAGUGAGUUUUUAUUAUUCAGUCCAGCGUUUAUUUACAUUAUGUGAUAUUUAAUAUGCUCUUUGUUAAUUCACUGUGAAAACACUUAGAAUUAUGAGAUAUUAAAUAUAUUUUUGUGACUAAUAAAACUUGACUUAUGAAAUGUUGUGUGCUUGCAAUGUCUUAUAUGUUGAUUAAUAUGCAAAAUGUACUUUAAGGUCAGCUGGUCACUAUCCCCAAUUAAACCCUGUCAAGGUAUUAGCGAAAGAAAAUCUUCCAAAUGUACAAUAACUAUCGAGAAGCAUUCCUCUCAUUCCCAAAUUAAUGUGGAUGACUGUAAUUUAAAGAGGCCUACAUCGAAGAACUAAAUGCAUUUACUCCUCCUCAAGUUGUUCCAAACCAGGGUUGUUUCAAGUGUUUGAAAUAUUCUUCUGCGCUCAGCAUUAUAAAAGCUGUACAGUGUUUCAUGUACUCAUGUGAUUUUUGUAGCCCUUUUCUGCUCUCAGUUGUACAUUGUCUGCCAUUUUCUCCAUUCCCGAGCAGCUGUCGCGACAAUGUCUCGUAAGCAAUGCAGAGAAUUUGUCGUUGGAUGUAGAAGUGAACAUAAGAGAAAUCAUCUGAGGAUGUAGUGGAUUAGUGUUUUUUUUUUCUUUUUAAUUCUUUUUUUUUUCUUGAUGCUGCACCACUGAAUACACCUAAAUUCAUUCUUUUUUCUACCCAAAUGAUCAAACAUUGAUAGUCAAUAAUCCGUAAACAGCUCUCUGUUUUUUUUUUCUUUUUCUUUUUGUAAGCAAUUUUCACGCAUUUUCAUUUGUAAGCAAAUCUAGCUGUGUGUCAGUUCAGAAAUAAAUUCUGAGCUGUGACUGUACUUUUCAUCUUUUAUUCACUCAGAUUUGACACAAGUCUACAGCGAUAUGAAAAUCCAUUUUUUUUUUUUCAUUAUUAUUGCUACUCACACAUGGUUAGUAGACUUUGAAGACUUGUUUAUUGGACUUGCAGUUUUGUUCAGUCAAUCUAUUUCUAGUUUUGAACCUGUACAGCUUUAUUAAACUUAUUAAAAGGAAAUGUUUUUUUUUUUUUUUUUAGUCAUUGUUUUCAUUAAAGGAAAUUAUGCUGUUAAGAAGUUUGUAUUGUAUUGUGCUGAUCUUGAGAUGGAUCACUCUAUUCUAUUUCUAUUCUAAACACUUGUUUUAUUUAAAAAGAAAAAAGAGCCUUUAACGCUAGCAUUCUCUAUUCUUUCUACUUAUUUUCUUUUUGUUUAUUAUAAAUAAUGACCGUCUAACACAAGCAUAAUCUGUUCUUUUUCUGUUCUAUUUACUUGUUUUAUUUGUAUUUAUUAUAAAAACAACUGUUUUUUAAAACAACUGUAUUAUAAAAACAACAAUUAACUGUGAUCUUGCCUGUUGUUAAUGAACAAAACAUCAUUUUUCAUCUUUUUCUGCUCUCUAGUGGACAGUCUGUAUUAAACGAGGUGUGUUUGAAAUAGUUGUAUAACGUGAAUGACAAGCUGCAGUUUUGGUUUGAGCAUAAUUUCAGCCUCAUUAAGGACAAAAUAGGAAUUAAUUGUAUUACUAUUUAAUGAUAAAAUAAAAAAAUGUUCUUUCAAAGUAAUUGACCUAUGCUAUAUAGGUCAUAUCAUAUAAGUAGCUUAUCCAAUACUAGCAAGGAAUUGCUGUAAAGUUCGUAAAUGUUAACUGUAUGUUAACGGUUUUUGUUCAUUUCCCGCUAAAAUUAUAGCUAUUUAAAAAAUAAAAAAUAAAAAAAAAGUUUGACGUUGAACUGUGACCUAGUAGUGGCACUUGCACACUUUCUAAUACAUUCAUUAACUGUCUGCUCACACCACCUUUAAUAAAACAUUUUAAUAUUUAGUUCUUCUGACAUACUGGUGCGGGUGUUGUCUGCUGGAUCUGAUCAGAUGGACCCGGUUCUGACCUGUUUCAAAUAUGACAGAUUUUAUGGAAUGCUCGCAUUCGGAAGUUCCAACUUCCUUAUUUUUAGAAAGUCCGAGUUACUUUUCCCGUCACAUGAAUAGUCAAGUAUGAUUUUAGCGUUUCAGUUGUAGAACUGUUACAUAUUAAUCUGAAGUUUAAAGUGAAAUAACUUUAAUACUAAUCGUCGAUGUCAGCUUGAGGUUUAGCUCGUUCUGAAACGACCCCGAAAUGUACUUUGAACGCUUUGAGACUCAACGAAACAAUUUAACAACAAUGGACAACUUUAUUCUCUCGUCUUUUACUCCCAUUUACAGAAUUAUUCAAAUAGUUGUUAUCAUUUUAGUCCCGUUACAUUUGGAGGGUGAGUAGAUUUAUGCAGUUUCAAUAUUUUCACUUUCACUUUACAUAUUUCAACGAAAUAUCUGAAAGUUAUUUGAAUAUAGGCCUAAUUUUAUGCUACGGAAGCCCUGAACCGCAUGAUGGAGAAAGAAAAAGGAAACUUAUCUCGUUAUUUCGACAUAUUAAGUCGUUAUUUCGACAUAAUAACUCGUUAUUUCGACUUAUUAAGUCGUUAUUUCGACUUAUUAAGUCGUUAUUUCGACAUAAUAACUCGUUAUUUCGACUUAUUAAGUCGUUAUUUCGACAUAAUAACUCGUUAUUUCGACUUAUUAAGUCGUUAUUUCGACUUAUUAUGUCGUUAUUUCGACUUAUUAAGUCGUUAUUUCGACAUAAUAA
ensembl:lncRNA